CGGGGCCUCCGGGAUGUUCCGGGGCCGAGUUGUGCCUGUUGCCGUUUCCGGCGCCGCUGCCCUCGGGCACCGUCCCCUCUGGCCCUGCCUUGGUCUGGGAGGGGUCGCUAAGGGGGCGGAGGGCGCUCCUAGGGGGCCCUGCGGAUCUCCUGGCCUCGGCCCCCCCGGGUGGCCAGAGCGGGGCUCUGCACAAAGGCCUCAGGUAGCCGCGGCCUCGGUUCCGAGAAAGCCCCUCGCACUGACCGGGCCUCAGCUGACCCGGGCAGCCUACUGACCCGACCCUGACGCCCGGGCCCUCCAGGCCACCGCCACCUCCCACCAUCCCGACCGUCCUUUGCUCCCUCAACCCUUGUUGCUGUGGGGCUUGGGGAUAUGUUGGAUUCUCACUGGCCCGGAACUUUGCUCCCCGAGGGCCGCCUGGCUGUAGAGCAGAACCCCCAAGUCCUGGAGAGAAGGGCAGAGGCCGGCCGACCAGGAGCUCUGCAGAGGAGCAAACUCUGGCCUGCGGACCCAGGGCUCUCACCGGCAUGUAAACCUCUGUGGUUCACGAGGCUUGGCGCACCAUGCUCUCUGCAAACUGGGCCUCAUACCACCUGUCUGCCCUGCACCUGGAGAACUGACAGCCUACCCGCCCAGCACUGGCAGCAGAAGCUAAAGCAUUCCUGGAACCCACAGGCCCCCAGCUAGCCUGACCCCCUGCCCCAGCCCCCCACGGCCCUGGCCUGGCCUCCCUGCAGCUCCCGGAAUGCACCCAGGCUGUGCUGGCCCCAGGGCCUCUGCGUGCCCAUCCCUCUGAGGGCUGCUCUUCUUCUUGCUCUAGGCGCCUCCAUCUUCUCCCACAAAUCUUUGCUCACGUGUCUUCUCAGACAGCCCCCACACCCCUGUCUAAAUGUUCAGUCCCCCUCCCCCGCUCCUCGGCCCCCUCAAGCCCAAUUCUUGCUUGGGUUCUGGUAGCUGGUGCCCCCUUCCCUGCUGCUGCGGACCUGAGCUCUUUCUGCCCCUCUGUUUCCUGCUGCAUCCUGCCUGGCUCCCAGGAGGCCUCUCUCAGCAUUUUCUGACAACAAAGCCGGGGCUGCAGAUCCCUGGUGAGAUUCCAGGCUAGCAUCAGCACUCCUCUCCCGCACGCACCACAGCUAAAGCACACAAGGGCACCGCUGAACGCCACCACUCCCAGCUGCCAGAGUGCCGCAUCCGUCGGCAAGGAAAAUGGGGACCCUUCCAUAGAAAACAGGCAAAGACUGAACAGACAUUCACAAUGGCCCCAAACAAAUGGAAAGAAGCUCACGC
rnacentral:lncRNA from 10 species